rnacentral:lncRNA from 1 species
AGAAUGUCCCAUUCUUUGUGCAUUUCUAACUGAAGUCAUAAAACCAUCGUUUUUCACUUACUCUUAUUUUUUUUAGAUUAAAAUCCAAACUAGUGUUAAUCCCAAAUAACCGUAAAAAUUUAGUCCCAAUCCUAAAUUCCCGGUAUUAUAAAAUAACUUAUCUACAGUAUAAAAAAGAAGAUGUGGUAUGAUUGCCAAUGAGACAACUCUCCACAAGAGACCAAAUGACACAUAAAUUAACAUCUACUAAUAUAGAUG